rnacentral:rRNA from 1 species
GUAGGGUGCAAGCGUUAAUCGGAAUUACUGGGCGUAAAGCGUGCGCAGGCGGUUCGCUAAGACAGAUGUGAAAUCCCCGGGCUUAACCUGGGAACUGCAUUUGUGACUGGCGGGCUAGAGUAUGGCAGAGGGGGGUAGAAUUCCACGUGUAGCAGUGAAAUGCGUAGAGAUGUGGAGGAAUACCGAUGGCGAAGGCAGCCCCCUGGGCCAAUACUGACGCUCAUGCACGAAAGCGUGGGGAGCAAACAGGAUUAGAUACCCUGGUAGUCCACGCCCUAAACGAUGUCAACUAGUUGUCGGGUCUUCAUUGACUUGGUAACGUAGCUAACGCGUGAAGUUGACCGCCUGGGGAGUACGGUCGCAAGAUUA